ACCAUGUUGAAGAUUGAACGUUGAGUGCCAUUAAAGUUCACCAAGCACCUGUUCGCAGCAGGUGAUGGCCUAAAGUCACAAUCCUCACCUAUUCUCCAGGCAUGGUGCACACACCAACCUGAACUGAACCCUAACCGCCACCCUGGCCUGGCUUACACAAACAUUGGGGCCCGACUCAGGACAAGCUGUGCACACUUUAAAGUAGUCUGCAACCUCACGGGUUUAGAGGAGCCCGUUCCCGUGAAACCAGCAACUCACAACUUAGAGGGGAAGCCUUCUUGCCUCUCCCUGUGAUCCUCUCUCCUCAAGGAAAAUGGUAAAGCCCGUCCCUCGGUGCCAACCCACGGAUGAGGAGGUGGUGGCACGAAGACUUCUGCUCCAUAGUCUGCCAAACUUGGCCCUGCACAGAACACCUUCACAAUAGGAAGACCAGCUCCUCGGAUAAAUGAAAACUGUCUGUGCUCCUGCCUGCCGGGAGACAAACCCUGGCCAGCCUGUUCCUGCUCAACCCGAGUACUGAAAUG
rnacentral:lncRNA from 1 species